rnacentral:rRNA from 1 species
GAUGAACGCUGGCGGCGUGCCUAACACAUGCAAGUCGAGCGAGAAAUCGCUCAAUGAAGCUUCGGUAGAUUUGAGCGAUGGACAGCGGCGGACGGGUGAGUAACGCGUGGGAAACCUGCCCUUUACAGGGGGACAGCCGAGAGAAAUUUCGAUUAAUACCCCAUAACGCAUUCUGAUCGCAUGGUCGGAAUGCCAAAGAUUUAUCGGUAAAGGAUGGUCCCGCGUCUGAUUAGCUGGUUGGUGAGGUAGCGGCUCACCAAGGCGACGAUCAGUAGCCGGCCUGAGAGGGUGAACGGCCACAUUGGAACUGAGACACGGUCCAAACUCC